rnacentral:lncRNA from 1 species
GGCUACAGAGUAAAUUGUGCUAAUUUGCAGACUAGUUGGCUGUUGAUUGCUUAUCUGUGGAAUACCGCGGCAUUAUGUAAUGAAAGAUAUCUUAUUUGCCAUCUUAUUUUUGGGGUUUCUGCAUGAUCAUCCCCCCACAUUUGUCUGAGAUUGCGGGGUAAUUUUAGUGUUUCAUGUAAUUGCAACAUCAUCCUUGUACUUUUGAGGAAGCACAGAGAAGUCUCCACGGUUCCCUCCAUCUCCUCUUAUAUGCCUCAAGACCCCUGAUUGUCUUGAAUUCAGCCUCUUCUUCUCUACUGCCUGCAAGCUGGUAGCAUCGCCAUCUCCUCCGUUCAUGCCGCUGGCCUCAUUCUCUUCUCCACCUUGCAGUCCUGAAGUCACUUCAUUCCAACUGCUCCAAUUACUCUCCUUCGUUUGCUUCAAUCAGUCAUCCCGUCAAUCCCCUUCUUCCCCACCCUACUUGGUUUGUUGUUUUCUCUACUCUCGCUCCCAUCUAUUCUAAGCUAUCAUCCUUAAUUUUUGAACACAACCAAGCAUUCCUCAUGCUCACCCUUACCUUCGGUGCCAUCCUAAUCCCCACACUCCAUCAUUUACCAAAAAGACAUUAAUCUAUGAAAUUUGAAGGACAUCAAACAUAACGUAUGCAUCUAUAUUGUAUGGUAAAUGUCAAUGUAGUUUGCUUGAAAAGAAAUGACAAAAGGAUGGCUACUUGGAAUGGCAGUUGCUUCUCCAUUGGAGGCAGGCCAUAUUCAAGUGGGUCCUACGCAAUCCACUUAUUGACUGCAUGCCAGUUUUUAUAAAGUAAACCAAGAAAAAGCUCCACUCUUGGAUAUUAUUUUUUUUCAUGUGAACAUUUAAUAUGAUGCUAGAAAAAGAUUUGAUUUUUAUCUUUAGAGACCUCAUGUAAUCUGAUAGCAAACUCGCUUGAACAAGGAAGAGCUUCAGCACUGCUCUCUGCCCAUCUGAUAGCAAAGAUUAUCUGAGAUAACUUUGGUUUAUUUAUGUUUUUUGGUUGGUCAGGUAUUGCAUCUUCAAUUCAAAAGCAUUAGAAUAUACUAAAAUUUGUUGGUUCAUAUUAUAGUUAAUUUCUUUAAAGGAAUUAGAUCUUAGAACUUGCAAAGCACGUGUUUAGUGGAGCAGGGGCGUUUGUUGAAUGACAAUCAGUUUGUUGAGCAAGGCCAACCACAUGAAGAUUUUCUUCUUCUCAUUUGCCUCUUCUUUCCAUGGAGCAAAUGAUAACAAGAGUUCAUUGUUAAGUCUCCACUAGAAUUGAGCAGUCACCUUUUCAGCCACCGGUUCUACGAGAAUUCAUGUGGGCGUGUGUUUAGUCCUACAUCGGCUAUCCACCGGAUAAAUCUUGGAUACUCAUAUUGGACAAGAAACCUAAAUAACAACUUCCGGCUAGCCCAAUUUUAGGUGACAUCCUGGGUUAUAACAAGUUAGUCCUGAACUUGAGUUUUGGUCAGACUGUUGAGCGGCAUCAUCGGUGGAGGCCAGCAGCAACAUGCACACAGCUGACAUUGUUGCCAGCAACAGGACCUUCAGGUUGCUCUAGUUGAGCAGUUUUCCAAAGCUAGAGCAGCUUCCAUCGCAGGAUCCUUCCCUGCUUUAAGCAUUGGCUUCUUUCUCUGCUCCUUCAUGGGAUCUAUUCUUGAUUUGUAAGGUAUUUGGAAGUAAGAUGGAAUUGAUUUAUGGGCACUCAAGGGAGCUAAUGCUUGUUAAAAAUAACUUAAAAAGUGAUCAAGUUUGCUGCUGAACCGAAACAAAAUUGUUUCCACUGCACCCUCGUAGCUUUUGCCAGACACCCUUGGAUUUGUUUCAGAAUGUUGUGGUAGCGGAUGAACCCCAAGGAAGUAACAAAGUACCAUUAAAAAAUUUUAGGCCUAUGAGUUUGCUGAAAAGUCUUCCAAAAUCACCAAUACUCUUGGAAAGAGCCUACAGCCUUAACUAAAUUCUUUGGUAAAGAAAGUGCGGUAUACUUUCAUUGAGGUUUGGUGUGUAUCAGAUUGCUAUCUUUCUGCAUAUGAGACUCUUAUCUUAUUGCUAUAAAAGGAAGGAGGAAGGUGCGCCAUGCAGCAUCCAUUUUGAAAAAGUCUUUGUCCAAAUCGAGUGGGAUUUCUGAAUUCUAUCACUUUGGAUAGACCACAAAAAUCCUUAAAGUCAGGCAACAGCAUAAUCCUCAAGAAUGGACUUCGGCAUGGAUAUCCAAUUUCUCCUUUUCUGUUCAUUCUAGUCACAGAUACCAUCACUAGAAUAAUUCACCUUGCCAACUCCAAGGGUUUAAUCUAUGGCUUUAGGCCAGACAGGAGAAUUGGUGCUAUCUAAAUCUAGUACUUCAGAUUAAAAGAAUCUUAAAUUGGAAGGAAAUUUUUGAGGGUGCUCUCAUCUACAUUUGGAUCAGGACACAACAAAGGGAUCAUUGCCUGCUAGCAUUAUGAGUUGUUCGGUCAGAGCGACUUCCUAGUCUCAUACAUUGGACUCCCCCUCUCUCCAAAAGCCUUCACCAGAUCCAAUUGGAAACCUCUCCUGGAUAAAUUUCAUUUUAGAUUUACAAGUUGGAAACUAGUCCUGCUGCUUCAUACUCUCAGCCCUCCCUUUAUAGUAGAGAUCAUUAUUUCUUCUUGCUUGGCUGGUGUCAAAAUUUGACAAAAUUAGGAGGGGAUUUCUAUGGAAAUGCCAAAAGGACCCUUUCUGGAUGAGCGUAACCUUCUCUUCAGGGAAUGUUUCAGACCUUGUUCUGCAAGGACACUUUGUCUAGGAGACCACUCUUAAAAUAAGUUCACUUUCUGCAUGGAUCGAAAUUGGGAUCCACCCAAAAAACGAAAGCAAGCUAAGCUUUAUCUCGAUUUGGGCCAACUAUUUUUUCACCUGGUUGGCCAAUCUAAUGUAUGUGUUAUGAAGAAGCUAAUGCAACGAGGUCUGUUUGAAGCAAAUAUCCAGUAAGGCAUUAGCUAUCACAACUACCUCCAACUUUUAGAUAACCAACAACAAUCAUUGAAUUCUCUUCUAUCCAAACCUUUGUACCUUUUAAUCUAGCUAUCAUAAAAUUCUCAAGCACUGUAAUAGAAACUAAAGCGGUGUUAGUGGGAAAGCUUCCACGGUGAUUUGAUCUCAUUAUUCAAGUUUGCAAUUAAUUUCAAACCAAGCUCGACCAAAUCCAAACUUAUGUUUUUGGUCUCCAUUGCACCUUUAGUUUCAAUACGAGUUUUGAAGAUUUCCUAGACCCGAUCGACAAAGAGUGAUUGGUCAAGGGUUGAAUGGGUUGCAUUGGGCACAUUGACUGGAACUUAAAAUAUGAAUUAUAUCUCUACUUUUCCUUAGAAAAUAUUGAAUUUAUUCAAAAUAAAGGAAAAUAUGGCAAGCAUAAGCCCUCGAGAUUUCCAUUCUAACUUUGAUGAAUCUUCUGCUAGACAAUAGAUUAAAAAAAUUGAUUAAGGUUCCCAUAUAUUAUAACUGCAAUGAAAAAAAAAGCGAAUGAAAGGGAUGCAAAUAAGAUUAAUACACCAAAUUCAUCUGCCUAUGUCUAAAUUGCAGUCGAAUCAUAUUGCAAUCUAAUUCUUAUUGCAAUCUAAUUCUUUUCAGAAAAUAUAGUAUGUUAAUGGAAUCUAUUAGAUACACAUUAAAACUGUCGUGCCAGCCAUACAGCGAUUCACCUACCGGAUUGCGCAUUAUUCGUUCUCACUGGCUGUUUCCCAAUCUCAUCUCACCCAUACAACACCAACAAAAAAAAAUCCAUCACCAAAACCUUCACGACCGUUUCAAUCUCUCUCUCCCUUCACCCAUGAUGGCUAGAACAAAACAACCCACCCGCUUUCAACUCCCAUCCAUUCGCUCACCGGACAACACCAUCCCUCACAAACACCAUUAAAUCCUGCCUUCUCCACUCCCCUCCUCACCCCGCUCGAUCGCUUCAUUAACUUCCCAAAAACCAGUGCAAACAUCAAAGGAAGACACAAAGCCAUGGCUCUCAACAAGGUUGUCCUGGCUCUCGCGAUCGCCGCGAUGGUGCUCAUGGCCUCGACGGUCCCCGCAGCGAUGGCCGAUGACGGCGAUUUCGACUGCUACUGCGAUUGCAUGAAGAAUAAGUGCAUGAAGGUCCCAAAAACGACCAAGGAGGAAUGCGCUCCCGCCUGCUCCGACGGCUGCGUGGAGGCUGGUUACAGGGGCCAGCCCAAUCCCGACGACUUUUGUGGGCUUUAAAUGGCAUCGAGCGAAGUCCUCCAUGCACGUGCCCUCGCGCUAGGGUACCAAGCAUCACCUCCUCCUUGUUUCUUUUGUCUUUUUCUCUUCUUCUUCUUCUUCUUCUUCUUCUUCUUCUUCUUCUUCUUCUUCACAAAGUGUACAUUUGUUAUGAACUCCUUGCUUCUCUGUAUUUGUUCUAUGUCUUUAUCAUGUAUACAUUUGUUAUGAGCUUCUUGUUUCUCUGUUAUCAUGUAUUCAUUUGUUGCGCAGUGGAUCCUUUAUUGUGUAAACUUGCAACUCAUAGUUUUG